rnacentral:rRNA from 1 species
GGUUACUGCUAUCGGUGUUCGCUUAAGCCAUGCGAGUCAUAUGUACUUCGGAACAUGGCGUACUGCUCAGUAACACGUGGAUAACCUGCCCUUGGGUCCGGCAUAACCCCGGGAAACUGGGGAUAAUUCCGGAUAACGCACAUAUGCUGGAAUGCUUUAUGCGUCAAAUGGAUUCGUCCGCCCAAGGAUGGGUCUGCGGCCUAUCAGGUAGUAGUGGGUGUAAUGUACCUACUAGCCUACGACGGGUACGGGUUGUGAGAGCAAGAGCCCGGAGAUGGAUUCUGAGACAUGAAUCCAGGCCCUACGGGGCGCAGCAGGCGCGAAAACUUUACAAUGCGGGAAACCGUGAUAAGGGGACACCGAGUGCCAGCAUCAUAUGCUGGCUGUCCGGGUGUGUAAAAUACACCUGUUAGCAAGGGCCGGGCAAGACCGGUGCCAGCCGCCGCGGUAACACCGGCGGCCCGAGUGGUGAUCGUGAUUAUUGGGUCUAAAGGGUCCGUAGCCGGUUUGGUCAGUCCUCCGGGAAAUCUGACGGCUUAACCGUUAGGCUUUCGGGGGAUACUGCCAGACUUGGAACCGGGAGAGGUAAGAGGUACUACAGGGGUAGGAGUGAAAUCUUGUAAUCCCUGUGGGACCACCUGUGGCGAAGGCGUCUUACCAGAACGGGUUCGACGGUGAGGGACGAAAGCUGGGGGCACGAACCGGAUUAGAUACCCGGGUAGUCCCAGCCGUAAACGAUGCUCGCUAGGUGUCAGGCAUGGCGCGACCGUGUCUGGUGCCGCAGGGAAGCCGUGAAGCGAGCCACCUGGGAAGUACGGCCGCAAGGCUGAAACUUAA